UUUGGGAGGCAAGUCUGGUGCCAGCAGCCGCGGUAAUUCCAGCUCCAAUAGCGUAUAUUAAAGUUGCUGCAGUUAAAAAGCUCGUAGUUGAAUUUCGGGACCAUCAUGUCGGUCGUGCCUCGGUACGUACUGGUAUUGUUGGUUUCUCCCUUCUGACGAACCAUGAUGUCAUUUAUUUGGUGUUGUGGGGAAUCAGGACUGUUACUUUGAAAAAAUUAGAGUGUUUAAAGCAGGCUCACGCUUGAAUACAUUAGCAUGGAAUAAUGAAAUAGGACGUUUGAUUCUAUUUUGUUGGUUUCUAGGAUCGACGUAAUGAUUAAUAGGGAUAGUUGGGGGCAUUAGUAUUCAAUUGUCAGAGGUGAAAUUCUUGGAUUUAUUGAAGACUAACUACUGCGAAAGCAUUUGCCAAGGAUGUUUUCAUUAAUCAAGAACGAAAGUUAGGGGAUCGAAGACGAUCAGAUACCGUCGUAGUCUUAACCAUAAACUAUGCCGACUAGGGAUCGGAUGAUGU
rnacentral:rRNA from 1 species